UUAAGUGAACAAGGGCAUACGGCGGAUGCCUUGGCGCCAAGAGCCGAUGAAGGACGCGGUAAGCUGCGAAAAGGCAUGGGUAGGAGCAAGCAUCCUGUGAUCCAUGCAUAUCCGAAUGGGGCAACCCACCAUCAGUCAUGUGAUGGUACGAAAGAGGCAGACCUGGGGAACUGAAACAUCUAAGUACCCAGAGGAAAAGUAAUCAAUUGAGAUUCCCUAAGUAGCGGCGAGCGAAAGGGGAAGAGCCCAAACCAUGAAACUUCGGUUUUGUGGGGUUGAGGACCGGCAAAAAGAGGAAACUUCUUAGUCGAAUGGUUUGGAAAGGCCAUGCACAGAAGGUAAAACACCUGUAGGCGAAAAGAAGUCAAUCGGGCUGGUAUCCAGAGUACUGCGAGACACGUGAAACCUUGCAGGAAGCAGGGGGGACCACCCUCCAAGGCAAAAUACUACUUGGCGACCGAUAGCGCAUAGUACCGUGAGGGAAAGGUGAAAAGAACCCCGGGAGGGGAGUGAAAUAGAACCUGAAACCGUAUGUCUACAAGCAGUCGAAGCACCUUAAGAGUGCGACGGCGUGCCUAUUGAAGAAUGAACCGGCGAGUUACAUUAUGUUGCGAGGUUAAGUGGGAGACACGGAGCCGAAGCGAAAGCGAGUCUUAAUAGGGCGACUAGUAACAUGGUGUAGACCCGAAACCGCAGUGAUCUAUCCAUGGUCAGGUUGAAGCGCAGGUAAAAAUGCGUGGAGGACCGAACCCGUGAGUGUUGAAAAACUUUGGGAUGAACCGUGGAUAGGGGUGAAAUGCCAAUCGAACGCGGAGAUAGCUGGUACUCCCCGAAAUAGCUUUAGGGCUAGCCUCAGGGAAGAUUAUAGACGGUAGAGCACUGAUCUGGCAAGGGGGCGUAAAGCCUACCGACCCUAGUCAAACUUCGAAUGGCUAUAAUUAAGACCCUGGGAGUCAGACUGCGAGUGAUAAGACCCGUAGUCAAGAGGGAAACAGCCCAGACCGCCGACUAAGGUCCCCAAUGCUGUACUAAGUGGAAAAGGAUGUAAGACUUCAUAAACAACCAGGAUGUUGGCUUAGAAGCAGCCACCAUUAAAAGAGUGCGUAAUAGCUCACUGGUCGAGAGGCCUUGCGCCGAAGAUGUCCGGGGCUCAAGUACAGAACCGAAGUCGCGGCAGGAUUAUAUAAUUCUGGGUAGGGGAGCGUUGUAUAUCCGACUGAAGGUGUACCGGAAGGAGCGCUGGAGGAUAUACAAGAGAGAAUGCCGGUAUGAGUAGCGAAAAGAACAGUGAGAAUCUGUUCCACCGAAAGCCUAAGGUUUCCUGAGCAACGCUCGUCGACUCAGGGUAAGUCGGGACCUAAGCCGAGGCAAAAAGCAUAGGCGAUGGACAACAGGUUAAUAUUCCUGUACCGCUUCAAAUCGUUUGAGCAAUGGAGUGACACAGAAGGUAGCUUGAGCACGCGAAUGGAUGUGCGUGUCGAAGGUGGUAGAUUGCAGUAUAGGCAAAUCCGUACUGUAUAAGAUCGAGAACUGAUAGAUAGACGAUACUUCGGUAAAGUCAAAUUCAAGUGAGCCAUGCUGUCGAGAAAAGCUUCUAGUGAGAGAUGAGGCGCCCGUACCAAAACCGACACAGGUAGGCGGGGAGAGAAUCCUAAGGUGCGCGGGACAACCCUCGUUAAGGAACUCGGCAAAUUGUAUCCGUAACUUAGGGAUAAGGAUAGCCGGAGGAUGUGAAGGGAUUUACUUCUGGAGCGUCAGCCGGUGGCACAAGAGAGGCCCAAGCGACUGUUUAGCACAAACACAGGUGCCUGCAAAAGAGAAAUCUGACGUAUAGGUGCUGACACCUGCCCGGUGCUGGAAGGUUAAGAGGAGGGCUUAGAGGCAACUCGAAGGCUUGAAUUGAAGCCCCAGUAAACGGCGGCCGUAACUAUAACGGUCCUAAGGUAGCGAAAUUCCUUGUCGGGU
rnacentral:rRNA from 1 species